UACGAAGGGGGCAAACGAUGUUCGGAGUUACUGGGUGUAAAGGGCGCGUAAGCGGAUUCGUAAGUCAGAGGUGAAAGCCCUGGGCUCAACCCGGGAAAUGCCUUUGGAACUGCGAGUCUUGAGUGCGGGAGAGGAUGGCGGAAUACCCAGUGUAGAGGUGAAAUUCGUAGAUAAUGGGUAGAACACCGGUGGCGAAGGCGGCCAUCUGGCCCGUAACUGACGCUGAGGCGCGAAAGCGUGGGGAGCAAACAGG
rnacentral:rRNA from 1 species